rnacentral:rRNA from 1 species
AACGCUUUACACAUGCAAGUCGAACGGUAACGUGGGGAGGAGCUUGCUCCACCCUGACGACGAGUGGCGAACGGGUGAGUAAUACAUCGGAACGUGUCCGCUCGUGGGGGACAACCAGCCGAAAGGUUGGCUAAUACCGCAUGAGUUCUACGGAAGAAAGAGGGGGACCCGCAAGGGCCUCUCGCGAGCGGAGCGGCCGAUGACUGAUUAGCCAGUUGGUGAGGUAACGGCUCACCAAAGCAACGAUCAGUAGCUGGUCUGAGAGGACGACCAGCCACACUGGGACUGAGACACGGCCCAGACUCCUACGGGAGGCAGCAGUGGGGAAUUUUGGACAAUGGGCGCAAGCCUGAUCCAGCUAUUCCGCGUGUGGGAUGAAGGCCCUCGGGUUGUAAACCACUUUUGUAGAGAACGAAAAGACACCAUCGAAUAAAUGGUGUUGCUGACGGUACUCUAAGAAUAAGCACCGGCUAACUACGUGCCAGCAGCCGCGGUAAUACGUAGGGUGCGAGCGUUAAUCGGAAUUACUGGGCGUAAAGGGUGCGCAGGCGGUUGAGUAAGACAGAUGUGAAAUCCCCGAGCUUAACUCGGGAAUGGCAUAUGUGACUGCUCGACUAGAGUGUGUCAGAGGGAGGUGGAAUUCCACGUGUAGCAGUGAAAUGCGUAGAUAUGUGGAAGAACACCGAUGGCGAAGGCAGCCUCCUGGGACAUAACUGA